CUUGUCCGCACCCGUGGCUUGGCUCAUCUACAGACCUCAUGCAUCCUCUUCCAAGAGCCCCCGAACCUCAAGGCUCCCGAGGCAGGUGGACACAUAGUUCCGCCUCCCGAGUCUGGGAUGACAGGCCUGCACCUCCACCCAAAUUUCUGUGAUGCUGGGAAUGGAACCCAGGGCUCUGCUGGUCCAGCCAUCUUGCUAGCCUUUCUGUGGUUGUCUUGGCUCUGAGGUUUUUGUGGCACAGGCUCUCACUACUUAGCACUGGUGGACCUGGAAGUAUCUCACUUGCCUCGGCUCCCAGAGUGAUGGGGUCACAAACUUGCUUACCAGACCUGGCUACAGAUCCUUUUAGAGAAAUCCGAC